UACGAAGGGGGCUAGCGUUGCUCGGAAUCACUCGGCGUAAAGCGCACGUAGGCGGCUUCUUAAGUCAGGGGUGAAAUCCUGGAGCUCAACUCCAGAACUGCCUUUGAUACUGAGGAGCUUGAGUCCGGGAGAGGUGAGUGGAACUGCGAGUGUAGAGGUGAAAUUCGUAGAUAUUCGCAAGAACACCAGUGGCGAAGGCGGCUCACUGGCCCGAUACUGACGCUGAGGCACGAAAGCGUGGGGAGCAAACAGG
rnacentral:rRNA from 1 species